rnacentral:tRNA from 1 species
UCGCCUGUAGCUCAAUUGGAUAGAGCGCGUGGCUACGGACCACGAGGUUGCGGGUUCGAGUCCUGCCGGGCGCG